GGACUACAGGGGUAUCUAAUCCCGUUUGCUCCCCUGGCUUUCGCGCCUCAGCGUCAGAAAGGGUCCAGUGCGCCGCUUUCGCCGCCGGCGUUCCUUCUGAUAUCAACGCAUUUCACCGCUCCACCAGAAGUUCCGCGCACCCCUACCCCCCUCCAGCCGUCCGGUAUCGGAGGCACUUCCACGGUUGAGCCGUGGGAUUUCACCCCCGACCUCGACGGCCGCCUACGCGCCCUUUAAGCCCAGUGAUUCCGAACAACGUUCGCACGGUUCGUCUUACCGCGGCUGCUGGCAC
rnacentral:rRNA from 1 species